rnacentral:lncRNA from 1 species
AGUUUAAACUGCGGAUUACCUGACAUGUGGGGGUGGGGGUGGGGGGAUGGAGCCUGUGGGAACUGUGAGCCUCUUUUCCUGUCAGAGGUAGUAACUUGUAGUUUGUUGUGAGUUCACUGAGUUUGACAGGCUAGCACGAGGCAGGCUAGUCUUCUGCCCAGAUGUGUGUUGUGUGUAUGCCCGUGGAGGCCAGAGGUCAAUAUCGGGUCUCUUCUCAGUUUCUCUCCACUUGAUCUGUUUUGUUUUGUUUUGUUUUUUUUUUUGAGACCAGGUUUCUCCAUGUAGUUCCAUGUCCUGGAACUCAGUUUGUAGACCAGCUGGCCUCAGAUUCAGAGAGAUCCACCUGCCUCUGCUGGGAUGAAAGAUUUGCCCCAAAGCGUGGCUAGAGUUUAUUCUUGCCUGUUACCAUUGGGCGCUCUGCAGCUUCUGGGCCUUGCCGUGAGACUCUUUACCACCUUUUUUUUUUUUUUUUUUUUUUUUUUAGGUUUUUCGAGACAGGGUUUUUCUGUAUAGCCCUGGCUGUCCUGGAACUCACUUUGUAGACCAGGCUGGCCUCGAACUCAGAAAUCUGCCUGCCUCUGCCUCCCGCAUGCUGGGAUCAAAGGUGUGCGCCACCACACCCGCUCCUUUACCACCCUUCUUAUUCUGAGCAUCUUGGCUUCUCCCUCCAUCUUUCUAGAGGAAGAGAAUAGGCUUGUGAACAAGGCCCCAGGUUUGUAGCCUUCUGAAGGGCCUGGAAAGAAGCAGGUGAAGAAGAUGAAGCGAGGGAAUCAUCGGGAAUGAGGGAAGGGAGUCGCUGGAAGCGAUCUGCAAAGGAAUGAGGGAAGAAAACAAUAUCCCUGGAGGCGGCUUGCAGGUGGCUGCUGAAGUGACCACAUCCAACCAGGAGCUUCAUUAUCGUUGGCUAAACUGUACACCCCCCAGGGUGGUUAAGGCUGAAAGAACUAUAAAGGUUGUGAAGUGGUGCCUGCUGAAUUUCCAGGAAAAAAAAAAAAUUCCUCCAGCCAUUAGGGCACCAACCUCCCCUUGUUCUUUACUCUAAGAAUCUCCAGACCCCAAGAGCUGAGACAUGAACCUGCAGCUAAGUCCACUAAGCAAGAAAUUAAAAUCCCCAUCACGGCUCAGUGGGUGGUGGUUGGCCUUGUUUCUGAUCCCACAGUUCAAGAAAAGUGGCACAGUGGAGCCAACACCGGUAAGAGAUGACGGAAGGAGGUUUGAUCCUGAAUGACCAGAGCGCAGGAAGCAGUCUUCAAUGCCAAUCACUCUUUAUCACCAAGUCGCGAUGAUUUUGUCUGUUUCUUUUUCUUCUGGGGCUUAGGACUGAACCUGAGACUUUUCCACUCAAUGGCCAAGCUGACUCUCCAGCCGAUCCUUGGGGAUUUACCGACAGAACCUUACGGAGUAGGCAAUUGAGGUGGACGUCGUUAUCUUAGCACACACGGUUCGCAGACGUGGUCUCAGUAAUUACGCCCUGAAAAUGAACUGGUAAUCCUAGGAUAGAUCCUGUGACAGUUAAGAAGGUAGAAUAAUCUAGAACCAUGGAAGAUGUGGAAGAACUUUCCAGGCCAAUGUCAGCGUUGGCUCGUCUAUGUCAGCUGAGAGGAGGGAAUUCCCUUGAGAAAAUGCCUUCAUAAGACUGUAGGCAGGCCUGUAGGGUAUUUUCUUUCUUUCUUCCUUGUUUUUCUUUGUCUUGUUUUGAGACAGGUUUUCUCUGUGUAGCCCUGGCUGUCCUGGAACUCACUCUGUUGACCAGGCUGGCCUCGAACUCAGGGAUCUGCCUGCCUCUGCCUCCCGAGUGCUGGGAUUAAAGGUGUGCGCCACCACUGCCCAAUGAUAGUUCUGAGUUCAAAAGAAAUCAGGCUGAGCAAGCCAUGAAGAGCAAGCUACCAAGCAGCAGCCCUCCACAGCCUCCGCAUCAGUUCCUAUCUCCAGGUUCCUGCCUGGAUUGAGUUCGUUGACUUCUCUCAAUGGAUUCUCUGAUUCUGAAUAUGUAAGCCAAACAAACCCUUUCCUCCCCAGGCCAGGUUGCUUUUGGUCAUGGUGUUUCAUCACAGCAAUAGUGACCUUCACUAAGACAGAUGGCUCAGCAGGUAAGCGUGUUUGCCACAAAGCUGCUGCUCAGAGCUGUCUUCUGAAUAUGCCACGUGCCACGGUGUACGCACACACCACUCAAAUAAACAAAAAGUGUACUGAUUAAAAAAUAAUGACUCAAACCUUUCAGAAGUCAGUGUAUACGAAGGAUGAGUGUGUCACGGGGGAAGAGCCAUGCUGGAUACGGGUAGUCACAGGAACUGUAGGGAUUCAGUCAGUGAGGGCAUGUCUCUUGCCCUCUGACUUCUCCCGCCUCUUUCCCCCGUGCAGACAUGUGCGCCACCCUAAGCUUUCCCUCUCCCAGGCAACAUAAUCUUUGCUAAGGCUUGAGAUCAGAGGAAUUUUUACUUUGUGUCGUCCUUGGCAUUAAAUAAGGGGACCUUUACCCAGCAUCAGCAGGAACCACCCUUGGGAGCCACUUAGUGCUGCCUGUCACGUCCACG